rnacentral:lncRNA from 1 species
UGCUGACCUGCCAGCUAAUGAGUUUAUUACUGCAGGCUUGAUGGCAUUGAGAGUGAUGGGAUUCACCAUUGUUGCAAGUAUCAAGAUGAGAGGAAACUCUAUUUCUUCCCAAAUGGAUCAAGUGAGAAGUGGGUGUCGUCUUUCAUUUGGAUGCAGGAGAGGAAGAAUUGCACAGAUGAAAAUAGUCUCGUAGGGGAAAUGCAAGACAAGGAGCUCCAAGGCCCCAUCCAAAAACAUGGAUGAAAGGGGAUGGCUUUUAAGACUCUUGUGUUUAGAAUUAUCACCGGAAAGAAUUCUAAAGAAAAAGAAUGGAAGAAUCCAUUGAACAAAGAUGGGUUGGAAUCCCCCAAGUGGUUGUUUGAGCUUCCCAGUGUGGACCAUGGGCCACCACCUACUUUCAACAAUACAACUUUCUGUGUCCUUAGCACUUUCAGCAAGUGGCAGACAGAAGGCCAGCAAACAUAUUUUUUAAUUUCUUUCUUUCAUUCAUAUACUACUCCAUUAGGGCAUGCACCAUUCUGGGUCGUUUACAAGUUAAAACUUAAAAAUCCCACCGACCCCACCUCAUCAUAAUACAGUACAUACAACAAUACAGCAAUUAAAAAUAUACAAAACAGAAAAGAGAGAACAAGAAAAAUAAAAUAUUAAUAUUUAACA